AUGAACGCUGACAGAAUGCUUAACACAUGCAAGUCGCUGGGGAAGUGGUGCUUGCACCAUGGCAACCAUGGCGGACGGGUGAGUAACGCGUAAGGGACUUACCUGCAGGACUGGGAUAACAGGGGGAAACUCCUGACAAGACCGGAUAAUGUCAUGGAGCUGCAUGGCUUUAUGAUGAAAGGAGACGCCUGCGGAGAGCCUUGCGUCCUAUUAGCUAGUUGGUGAGGUAAUGGCUCACCAAGGCGAAGAUAGGUAGCCGGCCUGAGAGGGUGGACGGCCACAAGGGGACUGAGAUACGGCCCUUACUCCUACGGGAGGCAGCAGUGGGGAAUAUUGGACAAUGGGGGCAACCCUGAUCCAGCAAUUCUGUGUGCAUGAAGAAGGUUUUCGGAUUGUAAAGUGCUUUCAGCAGGGAAGAAGUAAGUGACGGUACCUGCAGAAGAAGCGACGGCUAAAUACGUG
rnacentral:rRNA from 1 species